UACGUAGGGUGCGAGCGUUAAUCGGAAUUACUGGGCGUAAAGCGUGCGCAGGCGGUUCGUUAAGUCAGAUGUGAAAGCCCCGGGUUCAACCUGGGAACUGCAUUUGAAACUGGCGGGCUUGAGUGUGGCAGAGGGGGGUGGAAUUCCGCGUGUAGCAGUGAAAUGCGUAGAGAUGCGGAGGAACACCGAUGGCGAAGGCAGCCCCCUGGGCCAACACUGACGCUCAGGCACGAAAGCGUGGGGAGCAAACAGG
rnacentral:rRNA from 1 species